rnacentral:lncRNA from 1 species
ACAAGAAAUUAUUUCUUCUACGUUUAUUUUAGUAUAAAAAUAAUAAAAUAAUAAAUUAAACUGCCCUCUUUUCUUUUUUUUUUUCUUUUUUUUUCAUUAAUUAUUUCUGACAAAAUGGCUACUAUGAACGAAAAUCAUUUAAACUCAUUAAAAAGGGUAAGUUUACACAUUAUGACAUAUAUUAAUGUUAAAUAAGCUAUUUAUACGUACACAUGUAAAUACAUAUACAUAUAUAUAUGACAAUAUGUGCACUUUUUUUAAAUAAUUUUAGUUUGUAACAUAUUACACAUGCUGUAACCACAUAGGGUUGUAUAACAUUGUUAAGUUUGCUAGCUUAAGUACAUAAAAACUGAUUUUUUUUUUUUUUUUUCUUUUUUUUUUACCUAUACAGUUAAAAGAAAUAUCCAGUAUAAUUGAAACCACACUACAACAAAAUAAUAGAUUAAAAAACAUUUUAGCUAGCGAAGUUUAUUUUAGAAAAAAGUGUGAAGCAUCUUUAGAAACGAUCAACAACACUACAGAUGAACAAGAGUGCUACAGAAAGGUUUCUAAAAUUUUUAUCAAAAAGACAAAAGAAGAUUUAAAAGAAGAACUUAAUGAUGAACUCGCUCAGUACGAUAAACAUACUCCGUAUUUGUUGGAGUUAAGAAAAAAAAUAGUUGAUAAAUUGUCAAAUUUGAAGGAGCAGUAUAUACAAACGCAUGAAAUUGUAAUUUUUUUUUUUUUUUUUUAAUCUUUCUAAACACGUUA